rnacentral:rRNA from 1 species
CACUCCUACGGGAGGCAGCAGUGGGGAAUUUUGGACAAUGGGCGAAAGCCUGAUCCAGCCAUGCCGCGUGCAGGAUGAAGGCCUUCGGGUUGUAAACUGCUUUUGUACGGAACGAAACGGCCUUUUCUAAUAAAGAGGGCUAAUGACGGUACCGUAAGAAUAAGCACCGGCUAACUACGUGCCAGCAGCCGCGGUAAUACGUAGGGUGCAAGCGUUAAUCGGAAUUACUGGGCGUAAAGCGUGCGCAGGCGGUUAUGUAAGACAGUUGUGAAAUCCCCGGGCUCAACCUGGGAACUGCAUCUGUGACUGCAUAGCUAGAGUACGGUAGAGGGGGAUGGAAUUCCGCGUGUAGCAGUGAAAUGCGUAGAUAUGCGGAGGAACACCGAUGGCGAAGGCAAUCCCCUGGACCUGUACUGACGCUCAUGCACGAAAGCGUGGGGAGCAAACAGGAUUAGAUACCCGGGUAGUCC